CUAAUACAAGCUUUAUAUAUACAUGUAUAGAGAGAGUUUUGGGUUAAAAAAAUCACUAAGUAAGGAAGAAAACUCGAACCAAUAUCAAGAAUUGAUUUAGAUCAUGUGUGUGCUGUUUGUCGCUCUUUCCCACAGAAAUCCGAGAUGGUUGUGAAUAUUAAUUAAAAUAAUAUACAGAAGAUUAUGCUCAGAGUAUUUCUUACUUGACACAUGUCUCAGUGUUAUAUAAAUUUCAAAUUAAAUCCCAUAGACUAUAUUUGCAGGUACAAUUGAGUUGAUCCGAAGAGUCUAUGAAAACAUUUCACGGAACAACCAGACAUUCAAAGAAAAAAAUCUUGUCUGCUUUUUUACGUCAUCACAGAAAUUGGAUUCUAUUCUUAUCAAAAAUUGUAAUCGGAAAAGACUGUGUUCACACCGAUUGUGCAAAGGUAUUACUGUAGCUCAUACGCCUUCUAUUGCACAUACCAGCAAGUAGACUGAAAGGCCCGCUGUGUACCCGCAGUCUUUCCUAAGAUGAGUCACUAAAGCCAGAAAGAUCCAAGGGGAGGGGAAUUAUACUCCACCUCUUAGUGAGGAAGUAGUAAGGAUACAUCGCAGAAGAAUAUGUGGAACAGGAGAUGUUGCAACCAUAUUUGAAAAAUACCAUCACAAUUAGCCAUGAAUUAUGACUCUGAAUCCUCAUAUCAACUCUAUGAAAUGGUUAGAACUUUUAUCGUUAUUUUAAAAUUUAAUUUUCCCUAAUUUUAAUGAUGAGAAAAUGGAGGAGCAUUUCUACCUAGGUGGCUUACUGGCACUAACCCAAAUGUAAUAGAUUUUUUGCUCUAUAUCUUAUCAUCCUCACAUUCUCUCUCGGUGAGUGAUACCCCCAUAUGCUAAGCUGCUGAAUCUGAAAUCUUGCAUUCAUUCUUCCAUCUCUCUCCUUCUUUAUCACCAUCCAAUUCCAUUGAAUAACUAUAGUCUGUUCAUCCCCCUUUCUCCAUCUUCACUGCUAUUACUUUUGUUAAGGCUUUUGUCAUCUCUUGAGUACAUUAUUAUAACAUCCUCAGAUGUUGUCCCCUCUGGUCUUUCCAACCUUCCAAUCUAUCCUCCACACAGGUACCACAGUGACCAUUCUACAACUGAAAUUGGAUUUUGAUACUCUCCUCCUUAAAUCUCUCUACUUCUACUUGUUGCCAUCUGAGUAAAUCCCACAUUUCUUUGCAUGGUAUACAAUGUUGUUAUGCCUGCUUACUCUAGGUCAGGGGUUGACUGAAGCUACCUGGGUGUGAAUACCAUGCACACGCUGUAUUAGAGGUGAUGAAGCCUGUUUCUAUGCAGAAAUCACUGCUGUGUUUACAGAAGGUAGCUCUAUGCCAUUGGAGUUGAUGGUGACCUUGUGGAUAUGAGAGCUCAGCUUUGCCAGACCUUCUAUUUUAUUAAGAGAAGCUAGACGACUUUAUUUUUAUGUGUUUUAAAACAUCAUCUCAAUUUAAAAAAAUACUGUGUAGGCAAACAAAAAACGUCUGUGUCUGAGUCAGCCAUUAACCUCCUACCCAGGUCUCUCUCUGUUUCCUAUUACCACUUUCUGUCAUUGAAUCUCCAGCUCUGUGCUGCUUGUUUGUUUAGGAUUCUGCCUUCUUCUCUUAAUGUCAAGUUCUUUGAAGGUUUGGCUCUUAUCUUGUUCAUGUUUAUAUCCCAAUGUUUGACAUAGAAUGGGAUGCUCAAUAUAUACUUAUUGGAUGAAUGAAUAAUAUUCAUAAAAAUAUUUUGUAAACUAAUGCACUUUAAGUAAACUCAAUAAUUACAAUUUCCAUAUUUCGCAUAAUAAUCGUCUCCCCCAAAUAAAAGGCAGGAAAAGGUUAAAAUUAAGCUAUGGAAAUGAAUAAAAGUGAAAAUUACCAACAAUGAGAAAGGAGAUGGGUAAGGAAGUGACAAGAAUGGAUUCCAGCUCUUCUUCCCAUUACUCCUGUGCCUUUGCUGGACCUGAGCUAAAAUGUCCACCUGGCCUAAAAUGUCAAAAGUCCUCUGGUCCUCACCAGGCUGUGAUUGACUCUGUCCCUACAUGACUCCUCUGCCUCAGCUGUCCAAUGAACUGCUUCCCCAAGGGUGGCAUCAACAAAGUCCCACAGCCUCAGGUCCCUUGAAACAGGCCU